rnacentral:rRNA from 1 species
AAAGGAAUUGACGGGGGCCCGCACAAGCGGUGGAGUAUGUGGUUUAAUUCGAAGCAACGCGAAGAACCUUACCAGGUCUUGACAUAGCACGCAAAAGCAUAGAGAUAUGUAAUAGUUAUGGUGCAUACAGGUGGUGCAUGGUUGUCGUCAGCUCGUGUCGUGAGAUGUUGGGUUAAGUCCCGCAACGAGCGCAACCCUUGUCUUCAGUUACCAGCAUUAAGUUGGGGACUCUGGAGAGACUGCCGGUGAUAAACCGGAGGAAGGUGGGGAUGACGUCAAAUCAUCAUGCCCCUUAUGAUCUGGGCUACACACGUACUACAAUGGCGUAUACAGAGGGCAGCGAAGCAGUGAUGCGGAGCGAAUCUCAGAAAGUACGUCUCAGUUCGGAUUGGAGUCUGCAACUCGACUCCAUGAAGUCGGAAUCGCUAGUAAUCGCGAAUCAGCAUGUCGCGGUGAAUACGUUCUCGGGCCUUGUACACACCGCCCGU